rnacentral:lncRNA from 1 species
AGGCAAGUGGUUUUUAAGUGGGACCUUUGCAACGCAUCGUGACCCCCCCACUUACCUGGGAGCUUACCUGGUCAACUCAGUUCAUUAGACCGGAUUGGAGGCUUAGGUGCCCUCUUCAAACCAGUUAGGAGCUGUCUAGUGAUUUUAGGGCAAACACAAGGACUUGAUGUGUUUUUCUUUUAGUGCAUGCUUGACUAUACUUGACUGAUCAGAAAGGUAUUAGUGUAUGCUAAGGUGUCGUUCCAGAUCUUCUGAAUUAGUACCUUUUGAUUCUGAGAUAGAGCGUUCUAUUAGGGCCCUUCGAGCUGAAAUCCGCACCUAUAGAACCAUAGGAUCUGCUCCACUUAUA